GCCAAGGUGGCCGAGUGGUUAAGGCGCUGCACUCAAGAUUUAUCAGUCUUUCUCAUACAACAUGGGACGCAUUGCAGUAUCGAAAGAUGCUUGGGUUCGAAUCCCAACCUUGGCA